rnacentral:rRNA from 1 species
CCCUUAGGUGUUCUGGGCUGCACGCGCGCUACACUGAUGCGAUCAACAAGUUUUUCCUAUGUCGAUAGACACGGGUAAUCUUUUGAACUCGCAUCGUGAUGGGGAUAGAUUAUUGUAAUUAUUAAUCUUCAACGAGGAAUUCCUAGUAGGUGCAAAUCAUCAGUUUGCAUCGAUUACGUCCCUGCCCUUUGUACACACCGCCCGUCGCUGCUACCGAUUGGUUGAUCUGGUGAAUUAUUCGGACUGCCGGCUGAAGGGGUUUCCUCAUCUGCCAGCGGAAAGUCUUGUUAACCCUAUCAACUAGAGGAAGCAGAAGUCGUAACA